rnacentral:rRNA from 1 species
GAUGAACGCUGGCGGCGUGCCUAAUACAUGCAAGUCGAGCGAACUGAUUAGAAGCUUGCUUCUAUGACGUUAGCGGCGGACGGGUGAGUAACACGUGGGCAACCUGCCUGUAAGACUGGGAUAACUUCGGGAAACCGAAGCUAAUACCGGAUAGGAUCUUCUCCUUCCUGGGAGAUGAUUGAAAGAUGGCUUCGGCUAUCACUUACAGAUGGGCCCGCGGUGCAUUAGCUAGUUGGUGAGGUAACGGCUCACCAAGGCAACGAUGCAUAGCCGACCUGAGAGGGUGAUCGGCCACACUGGGACUGAGACACGGCCCAGACUCCUGCGGGAGGCGGCAGUAGGGAAUCUUCCACAAUGGACGCAAGUCUGAUGGAGCAACGCCGCGUGAGUGAGGAAGGCCUUCGGGUCGUAAAGCUCUGUUGCCAGGGAAGAACGCCUAGGAGAGUAACUGCUCUUAGGGUGACGGUACCUGAGAAGAAAGCCCCGGCUAACUACGUGCCAGCCGCCGCGGUAAAAC